rnacentral:misc_RNA from 1 species
AACUGAUACUACCUGCGGGAACCUGCGGAAGGAUCAUUACCGAGUUAUCCAACUCCCAACCCCUGUGAAUCAUACCUUUAAUUGUUGCUUCGGCGGGACUUCGCGCCCGCCGGGGACCCAAACCUUCUGAAUUUUUUAAUAAGUAUCUUCUGAGUGGUUAAAAAAAUGAAUCAAAACUUUCAGCAACGGAUCUCU